rnacentral:rRNA from 1 species
UACGGAGGGUGCAAGCGUUGUCCGGAAUCACUGGGCGUAAAGGGCGCGUAGGCGGCCCGGUAACUAGGGGGUGAAAUCCUGCGGCUUAACCGCAGGGCUGCCUUCUAAACUGUCGGGCUCGAGCACGGUAGAGGCAGAUGGAAUUCCCGGUGUAGCGGUGGAAUGCGUAGAGAUCGGGAAGAACAUCAGUGGCGAAGGCGGUCUGCUGGGCCGUUGCUGACGCUGAGGCGCGACAGCGUGGGGAGCAAACAGG